rnacentral:rRNA from 1 species
GACGGACGCUGGCGGCGUGCUUAACACAUGCAAGUCGAACGGAAAGGCCCAGCUUUUGUGGGGUGCUCGAGUGGCGAACGGGUGAGUAACACGUGAGUAACCUGCCCUUGACUUUGGGAUAACUUCAGGAAACUGGGGCUAAUACCGGAUAGGAGCUCCUGCUGCAUGGUGGGGGUUGGAAAGUUUCGGCGGUUGGGGAUGGACUCGCGGCUUAUCAGCUUGUUGGUGGGGUAGUGGCUUACCAAGGCUUUGACGGGUAGCCGGCCUGAGAGGGUGACCGGCCACAUUGGGACUGAGAUACGGCCCAGACUCCUACGGGAGGCAGCAGUGGGGAAUAUUGCACAAUGGGCGGAAGCCUGAUGCAGCAACGCCGCGUGCGGGAUGACGGCCUUCGGGUUGUAAACCGCUUUCGCCUGUGACGAAGCGUGAGUGACGGUAAUGGGUAAAGAAGCACCGGCUAACUACGUG